UCUCCCUUCUCUUCCCCCUCCAGCCUCCACUCCUUCGCCCGCUCACUCACCCUCUCCCUCUCCCGCUGCCCCCCCUUUCUCCCCCACCUCUUUGUUUCAGCUGAGAACCAGCUCCUCGGGACAGUUCCCACACUGCAGUGCCUCUGGUGAGGAGACAGCGCCACUGAGGCCUCCUCUGAACUCCCAAAAUGUGACCUAUGCCAUCACCGAGGCCGCAGGAACAAGAGGUGGGUGUCCAUGACAUUGGUACCUGUCAUCCCUGUGUGCAGCAGGUGUGCCCCACCCUGGAGGCAGCAGAAGAAGAUGGACAAGAGCCUAGAAGAUCCCAGCCUUGCCACUGGGUAUGAGCACAGGACAGGGGGACGCUCAAUGCUAAGGCUGCCAGAGAAAAUACAGGACUUCCGGUUAAAUUUGAAUUUCAAAUAAACAAGUAAUUUUUAAAGUA
rnacentral:lncRNA from 1 species